GUUUGUUACUGUGAAUUUUCUUCAAAUAAUCCCAGGCCUUUCUCAGAUCAGAGUUCAGACUGAGGCAUGUCUGGUCAGCUGUCAGCUCGGUUCUGGUGAGACUCAGCUGGCUUGCAGGGUUGAUAUCCGUUUUUCUAAUAGUGGCUCAGAUGGAGACCCUUCCUAACAGCCACAAACACAGUUACAAACACUCACAGUUGGAAGAUUCCCAGUAUAACCACAGUCUGAUCUGGUGGCCACUGAGCAGCUCCACUGGGGCAGAUGGAGGUUAGGUUUCUUGCUCAGGGGCACCUUGGCUGUGGUAAUAGGCCUCUUCCAGUCCACAAAAGUCCAACUAAAAACUCCACCUCUCCGCUGAGCCACAGGGAGAAGACUGAAAUCCUGUCUGAUGAAGCUGCAGCAUCGGAAAACCAGAGACG